rnacentral:rRNA from 1 species
GCUUGUAGGCGGUCUGUCGCGUCUGCUGUGAAAAUCCGGGGCUCAACCCCGGACUUGCAGUGGGUACGGGCAGACUAGAGUGUGGUAGGGGAGACUGGAAUUCCUGGUGUAGCGGUGAAAUGCGCAGAUAUCAGGAGGAACACCGAUGGCGAAGGCAGGUCUCUGGGCCACUACUGACGCUGAGAAGCGAAAGCAUGGGGAGCGAACAGGAUUAGAUACCCUGGUAGUCCAUGCCGUAAACGUUGGGAACUAGGUGUGGGUCUCAUUCCACGAGAUCCGUGCCGCAGCUAACGCAUUAAGUUCCCCGCCUGGGGAGUACGGCCGCAAGGCUAAAACUCAAAGGAAUUGACGGGGGCCCGCACAAGCGGCGGAGCAUGCGGAUUAAUUCGAUGCAACGCGAAGAACCUUACCAAGGCUUGACAUAUACCGGAAACACUCAGAGAUGGGUGCCCCGCAAGGUCGGUAUACAGGUGGUGCAUGGUUGUCGUCAGCUCGUGUCGUGAGAUGUUGGGUUAAGUCCCGCAACGAGCGCAACCCUCGUUCUAUGUUGCCAGCGGGUCAUGCCGGGGACUCAUAGAAGACUGCCGGGGUCAACUCGGAGGAAGGUGGGGAUGACGUCAAAUCAUCAUGCCCCUUAUGUCUUGGGCUUCACGCAUGCUACAAUGGCCGGUACAAAGGGCUGCGAUACCGUAAGGUGGAGCGAAUCCCAAAAAACCGGUCUCAGUUCGGAUUGGGGUCUGCAACUCGACCCCAUGAAGUCGGAGUCGCUAGUAAUCGCAG